rnacentral:rRNA from 1 species
GACGAACGCUGGCGGCGUGCUUAACACAUGCAAGUCGAACGGAAAGGCCCUGCUUGCAGGGUACUCGAGUGGCGAACGGGUGAGUAACACGUGGGUGAUCUGCCCUGCACUUCGGGAUAAGCCUGGGAAACUGGGUCUAAUACCGGAUAGGAGCCAUUUUUAGUGUGAUGGUUGGAAAGUUUUUUCGGUGUAGGAUGAGCUCGCGGCCUAUCAGCUUGUUGGUGGGGUAAUGGCCUACCAAGGCGGCGACGGGUAGCCGGCCUGAGAGGGUGGACGGCCACAUUGGGACUGAGAGACGGCCCAGACUCCUACGGGAGGCAGCAGUGGGGAAUAUUGCACAAUGGGCGCAAGCCUGAUGCAGCGACGCCGCGUGGGGGAUGACGGCCUUCGGGUUGUAAACUCCUUUCGCUAGGGACGAAGCUUUUUGUGACGGUACCUGGAUAAGAAGCACCGGCUAACUACGUG